rnacentral:rRNA from 1 species
AGUGGCGGACGGGUGAGGAACACGUGGGUGACCUACCUUGGAGUGAGGAAUACCGGCGAGAAAUUGCCGACAAUACCGCAUGCGCUUCUGUAGCGGAAAGCCUCGCUCGGAGAUGGGCCCGCGGCCGAUUAGCUAGUUGGUGGGGUAAGAGCCUACCAAGGCAACGAUCGGUAGCUGGUCUGAGAGGACGAUCAGCCACACUGGGAUUGAGAACGGCCCAGACUCCUACGGGGGGCAGCAGUGAGGAAUUUUCGGCAAUGGGGGCAACCCUGACCGAGCAACGCCGCGUGCAGGAAGAAGGUCUUCGGAUCGUAAACUGCUUUUCUCUGGGAAGAGGGACGGUACCAGAGGAAGAAGCCCCGGCUAACUACGUGCCAGCAGCCGCGGUAAUACGUAGGGGGCGAGCGUUGUCCGGAGUUACUGGGCGUAAAGCGCACGCAGGCGGUCGUGUAAGUUUGGGGUUAGAGCUCCCGGCUCAACUGGGAGAGCGCCUUGAAGAC